ACAGCAAGGAAACUCAGUUUCCUCCUCCAUUUGUUCAUUCCUGCUCACUUCAAUUUGAACGAAAAUGAUCCCCACCGAGUCUGGAGGGCUCCUCCAUUCCUCCCUUUGUUUGUGUUAUUACAAGUCUCCAUAUCUCUUCCCUCCGUGACUCAGCUGACGACGACGGGCUAUUUCCGUUUGAAAGCCGGCAAAUCGGACCUCAACGUUUGACCAAUCGUCUCCCUUUCAUCUCAGGAACAAGAAACAGCCGUUGCAUGCCUCGAUUUGUUACGGUUUCGAUGAGGAUUUUUUAAUACUCCUCAGAGUUUUCCUACGUUUAUGCGAUGAUUCCGGCGAAGGUCGUCGUCGAUGUUGGUCUCAAACUAUUCCUCAGCACCUCAGGUACCUUCUUCAUCUAUUGUAUGUAAAGAUUCUGCUUCAAAUAUUUGAUUUAAUAUAAAUGGGUUUUAUUUAAUUUUUCAUAUUUUUUUCCUUCAAAAUUCUGGGUUGUGCACAAAUUUUCGUUAGCAGGUCUCAAUCAAAGUUGUGUAUGCUUUGUGCAGAGAGAGAAAGCGGCUGGGAUAUGAGAAAUAAGCGUUUUUACAAAAUCUUAAUAUACCAGUGCGAGUGAAGUGUGUCUGUUUAGUACUAAUAUUUCAGUUCAAGUAAAGUUUACUGCAUUUUUCUACAAAUAGGUACGAUAAUGGUUUAUAGAUUCCCUAUUUAUAUCAUUGGAAUAUAUUUGUUCAAAGUAAUAUUACAAUGAUUUCGAACAAAGCUUAACCAUAAUAGGCAGUAGACAUUAUAUAUCUGCUAAUUUGUUGAAACUAUUGGUGCUCUAUAAAGAGAUAAAAUAUAUGUUACCCACAAAAUAUAAUGUGAAGAUUAUAAACUGUGAAGGGGAUCUCUUACUUCAUUGGAACAGGAACUGACGUAGAACUACGGAUAGAACCCCGGUAUCUACUUAUAUGUUGAGUUACACACUAAAUCUAUAAAUACUUUUUACAGAUAACAUGCAAAUUUCCUUCUUUCAGUCUGUUGUAUGCCUAUGACGUGAUAAACAUAUAAAAAGUUUGCGAAAAUUGAUGGCUCAUGUCAUAACAAAUACUUUUUCAAAUUCUAAGUUUUUAUCCGCUUUCGCUCUUUUUUGUUCAAUGGUUUCAAUUAAUUGCUUUUAGUAUAACAUGCCCAUAUGUUACCGGUUCUAUGUUACCGAGUAUAGCUUGAGGUUAUGAAUGUCCCUGAAAGCACCUUAAUUUUGUGUAUAAUUUAAGUUUUUGCAUUGUGAAGAUGAGCAAGUUGGCAUCUAGGAGUGCAUGUCACGUGAAGAUGAUAUUGGAGGCCUUACAGGUAGAAUCGUUCAGGUCAUUAUUUUGAGGAUUUGAUUUGAUUUGUUUUUUUUUUUUUCUCUUUAUUACUAAGAUUUUUCCUAACCACUUUACAUAUGGGGCUACCAAAAAACAUUGAAUUGGCACCAAAAUGGCCGUAAUUUUCAUUUUACAUAAUUUUUGCAAUCCUUUGUUGAAAUAUGCAGCACAUGGUAGGAGAUAAUUCUUCUUCAUUGUGAACAUUCAGGUAAAUCUGUCUUUCAUGGGUUUUUCUAUUAUUCUUUGCAGUUUUUCCCUGUUGCUUGCCAUUAAUUACCAAAUUAUCUAUGUGAACUAGGUCCAAGUUCAACUACUUAUGGUUUGGCACUAUACUAUAUGAUGAAUUCUCCAAUCGAAGAUACACCCUUGCUACAGAGUUUUAUCAAGGGGGAUGAUUUAUAUGAAAUUCAAGGUUUAACUUCUAACUGAUUCUUCUCUCCUCAGGGUUCAUGGAUUGUUAAGCAAUGUGUGGGAAGAAAGCAUGCCUCAUUGACCAGGCACUUGAAAUCAAUUAUUUCCACGAGAAGAACUAUUUGGAGGUAUAUCAAUUUUUAGCAUGCUUUUAUAUAUGUUCUUUGAUCACCCUACUUUGUGGACAGCUUAUUGACACUUCACUGAAAUUCAAGGCCUUCUGUUUUCGGGUUCAAUUUGUUAGAGUAUAUAGAGUUAAGGUGAUUCCAAGUGUCACAUGAUUUGUCUAUAUAUUUGUGAGGUUCAAUCAAUGUCAUAUGAAGAUGGUAGCAUGUGUUACAAGAUUAAACCAUCUCAGUAUAGUGUCAAGAUGCAGUUAGUGAGUCAGUUAUUUUAGAGGGAUAUAAUCCUCACUCAUUGUGUAGUAUUGUUUUUGGUAAUUAAUUAAUUAUUUUAAAUGCAAUAUCAUGAAUAUUUAUACUCAUUUAUAUAUUUGUAAAGAACAUCAGAACACACGAAUGUAAUAUAUGUACAUAUUAAACACUACUCCUUAACACAUAUAUUUUCUACACUUUCUACAUUUUCAACAAUUUUCUAAACCCCGCAGCAACGCGCGAGUACACUUGCUUGUAUUGGUUCUAUUGCUGUCAUUAAGAGCACAACUGGUAGUGCUUGUUGCCACGUAUGCUUGUAUGCUACCUUCCCAGCUUUUGGUGUAUUCUUUCUUCUUUUUUUUCGGUAACAAGCUUUUGGUGUAUCCAAUUCAACUAUAUUCUUCCGUUGACGACAAGUAUGACAAUAUAUAUGACAUUGUUCCUUGCAUUACAACAACAACA
rnacentral:lncRNA from 1 species